UUCCGGUUGAUCCUGCCGGAGGCUACCGCUAUUGGAAUCCGAUUAAGCCAUGCGAGUCGAGAGAUUUCGGAUCUCGGCGGACGUCUCAAUAACACGUGGAUAAUCUGCCCUUGAGUGGGGGAUAAACUCGGAAACCUGAGUAUAAUACCCCAUAGGCCUAGGAUGCUGGAAUGCUUCUAGGCUCAAAGCUCCGGCGCUCAAGGAUGAAUCUGCGACCUAUCAGGCUGUAGUGGGUGUAACGGACCCACUAACCUUUGACGGGUACGGGCCUUGAGAGAGGUUGCCCGGAGUUGGACUCUGAGACACGAGUCCAGGCCCUACGGGGUGCAGCAGGCGCGAAAACUUCACAAUGUGGGAAACCACGAUGAGGGGAUUCCAAGUGCUAACACAUAGUGUUAGCUGUUCACCUGCCUAAAAAGCUGGUGAAGUAAGGGCCGGGUAAGACGGGUGCCAGCCGCCGCGGUAAUACCCGCAGCCCGAGUGGUGAUCGCUAUUAUUGAGCCUAAAGCGUCCGUAGCCGGUCUGAUAAAUCCUUGGGUAAAUCGGGCAGCUUAACUGUCCGAAUUCCGAGGAGACUGUCUGACUAGGGACCGGGAGAGGUCAGAGGUACUCCGGGGGUAGGGGUGAAAUCCUGUAAUCCUCGGGGGACCACCAGUGGCGAAGGCGUCUGACUAGAACGGAUCCGACGGUAAGGGACGAAGCCCUGGGGCGCAAACCGGAUUAGAUACCCGGGUAGUCCAGGGUGUAAACGCUGCAGGCUUGGUGUCGGGGGUCCUACGGGGGCACUCGGUGCCGGAGAGAAGUUGUUAAGCCUGCCGCUUGGGGAGUACGCUCGCAAGAGUGAGACUUAAAGGAAUUGGCGGGGGAGCACAGCAACGGGAGAGCGUGCGGUUCAAUUGGACUCAACGCCGGU
rnacentral:rRNA from 1 species